CCGGUACUGUGCCCAGGGGUUACUGGCUGCGACUGUUGUGUGCACGGGCGCCAAGGGGGUUACCUGACGCCGCUCUACCUGUGAGGGCGGGGACAUGUGUCCCGUUAUUUGUUCACCACCUCGGUGACUGACACUCAGAUAAAGUCAUGUACAGGGCACUGGUAAAAAAAAAUAGUUGGCGUUAUACAUGGCUUAGAACACGAGUGCACGGGCGUGACACCGACAGGUCCAUGGAUGAUUUAACCCUCUGUGUGCUGCCUGAGGAUGUUCAGAAAGCAAGGGUACCAGUUGGAAAAACAUUCCCCCUGUGUUCAUGGAAGGAGACCCUUGCUCAGCAUCUGGAGUCGCACUUCGUGAGUCUGGUAUAGCAGCAAAUCCGGAGCACGGCUUACAUUCUGAUGCUGAAAGCGAAAAUAAGAUACAGAAAGAAACAUUUAGAAUCUACUGAUUGCGACACUGGAAAUACUAGUCAUGUGUUAU